rnacentral:lncRNA from 1 species
UGGGCGGCGGGCGGCGGGCGGCGGGCGGCGGGCGCAGCGGCGAGGCCCCGGACGCCCGCAUCCAGCCCGCGAGCGACCGAGCGGACCUCCGCGCAGAGGCCGCGGCACGCGCGCCCCCCGGUGAGUUGCAGCUUCGUCCUCCGCGUUUCUGGAAACUUGGAGCUGUGGCCGGGCGGCUGGCGAUGCGUGGCGGGCGCCGAUGGAGGGGCCUUGGGCUCCGGGGGCGCUGCUCGGCCCGGCCCGGACGGAGGAGGGAGGGGGUCGCGCUGGCCGGGCCGCGAUCGGACCCUCGCCCGCGGGUCUCAGACGCAGCCCCGGGCGCGAUCAGGUCCGCUUGCGGAUGCGGUUGGAGGCCGCGUUUGCGAAACUGGAGGUCCGCGAGCCGCGUGACGCCCUCUCCAUCCCGUGGCCGCCGCCUCCCCAUGCCCGGAGCCGGUUCCCCCAGAACUCGGCAGCCCCGUGUUGUGAAACUUUCUCUGCCUUCGCUUUGCGCCCGCGCGCCGGCUGCCCGCACUCGGGACGGCAGCCUCCUCGGAGGGCUUUGCGUGUCCUUAGGGCCACCUUCCCGUGGCGCGGUGCUCGUUAUUUGUGCCAGGGUUCGUGGUCUGCGAGGAGGCUUCCAGGAAGCGCAGCCACGAGGCCGCCUGUGCCGGGAGCGUGGACACAUGGUGAGCCCUCCUGGUGGUCCGCAGCGUGGAGUGUUUUCUUCUCUGCAGCUCCAGACUGCAGCCCAGUCUAGAAAAAGUAGAAAGGGAAAAGUCACCCGGAGGAUGCUGGGGACGAGCCAGCACGGGUUCUAUUUCUUCCCUAGGCUGUUGUUUUCCAGAGGGAACUGGCAGCCGCCCGCGCCCCUCAGAUUGGUCUCCAGUCAAGGUGGAGGAACCGCGAGUGGGGUGGGUGUCCGGCCAAGGGCGCAGGGACUGCAUCCGCCGAACCGAGAGCUGCAGGGUGCUGCAGGCUUGCUUUGCAUAUGGGCAGGCAAGUUGAGGCUUGUUCACUUGCCACGGUCCUGUGGUCACAGCAGUCUUUCUAAAGCUCUCCCCAGCAGACGGGGCUUGUAUGGACUCUUGGAAGCCGGAGUGGAACUUCCGGAAAGAUUGACUCUAGGAGAGAAGCCUUCAGCAGAGCAGAGCAAAAGGACACACGUAAUCCAUUACAAGGAAAACCCUCAUGGCCCGGUCCCUGGGCUGAGAUGAGCUCAGUCUGGAGGCCUCGAUCACACAGGGCGCCUAGGUGAGAAAAUGUCUCAUGAACAAAUCGCUGACACCCAGCGUGCCCGCGUCCCACAGUGACCAGUUGCUCACGGAGACAUCGGCAGUAGGCGCUGCAGGAGCAGCAGCAGCUCCUCCCGGCUUAACCCGUGCUGCAUGGCCCUCUGCGAAGCAACCCGGCCAAGGCCCAGCUCACCUGCAGGCUGGGCCAGGAAGCCUGGCUCCCUAGACGCAGAGUCCUGUUGCGGCUGGGAUUUAGGUGCUUUUAACCUGAAAAUGGUGCAUAUCCUGUCAGCACUGCAGAAGAACUCGAGGACCUCUUGGCCUGGGCUCAAUCUGGAGUAUUUGGGAACUUGGAGAAUGGAGGUAAGGGGCAUUCUCCUCCUGAGCCUGUGGCAGCAAAAGCAGCUUCUGGAAUUGAUGGUCUCUGCAGCACAACUUGCAGGGUAGUCCCAGAAUUCUUGGCGCAUCUUCUGGUGCUCCAAGGUGCCGGGGAAGCUGGCUGCUCAUAACUCGCCCUGACAUCGUUCUCAGCAUCUGAUCCACUUGGACACAGUGCCUACCGCCCUCUCUCUGCCUGUUCCUAGCCGGGAGGAGCCUACUGGCCUUUGGGGACAUUCCCUACCCUGUGUAGCUGUCCUGCUCUGCCCCGUCCACGCUACCUCGGGAGAAGAGAAGGCAGGUGGGCACUGCAGGGGCAGGCAGGGUCACCUCGUGGAGCAUCUAGAAUGUGCACUUGCUCCCCCAGCACACCCUCCCCCGACUCUGCUCCUGGCUGAGCCCUGCCCCCAUCAAUUGCUCCAGCUGUACGAAGUCUGUGAAGUCUGCGGCUGUCUGCAGUGAAGGAAAGGGGGUGAAGCCCUGGGGAUUCUGGGGGACCAAGGCUUUCCCGUUUUUCUGCUUGUCUUACCUUGGACAGAUGGCUCAACUUCACCAAGCCUCGUUUCUGCGUAUCUAGACUAGGACGCAUCAGUGCCUGUCUCACGAGAUUGCUGCAGGCACUGAAUGAGAAAGCUUGGACAUCGAGCUUAGCUGGCUUCCUGGCACGGGGAGGAAAUGCUCCAAACCGGGAAGGGGUGUUUUGUGUAUUAAUUUCCAGUUGAUUAAUUAUGCCCAUUGGAGUUCCUUGUAUGUGCAGCUCAUCUCCAAGUGUUUGGUCCGCUGUUCUGUCUGCUGAGAACCAUCACGUCAGCCUGGGCGACAGCUUUGGAUUACAAGCAAAACAAAACUUCCUGGCCAGACUGAUACCAGAUUGAAGGAAACAGCUGGCUUUCAUGGGGACAAGAAAACAGAAUCCAGCCAGAGUGAAGACCCGCGCCAGUCUGUUCUGCACCGGGCAGCUGCUGGGGAAGUGCUGGCAACCUGCAGAGAAGUCCCAGCUUGCCUUGUGCGUUCCACAGUUCCUGGAGACAGUUCUACAUUUUGGCCUGAGCGUUGGCACCCAGCUGGAUCUUGAAGCAGAGCUUUCUCUUCCUCGUGAGCGGCCCCCAGGCUCUGCCUUUGGGGAGCAACAGCUCACCACCGCAAGUUCAUGAAUCUAAGAGGCAGACCUGGAAUCUGAAUCUUUUACCAGUUGCUUCAGGGAUGGGAACUUCGAUGGAAGCCCACUCACGUGGCUUCUGCUCGUGGUUGGCCUGUGGACGACUGUUUCCCAGCAGCACUGCUAUCCUUGGCUGGCAAGCUGCUGCUCUUCUCCCUCCCAGAGAGCUCUAGCUAAUACAGUCUACUCCGGUGAGCUGUGACCCCACGUUCUGUUUAGAUGUUCAGUCUUACUUUUCUUGCAAUGUCCUUGGGAAAGGCCGGGCCUCUUCCCCUCACCUGUUCCAGGCCAUCUGAGGCCAGCCAGACCACUCAGGCCCCUCCCUCAGCCAUCAGCUCCAGCUUCCGAGUGCUUUCUUAGCUCCCAGUACCUUCCCACCAGGACAGGCACCGGUGCCAUUUCUUGAGUGUCUGUCCUGUACACAUUCAGGGGAACAUAUGGUCAUCUUGAACCAGGAGAUGAUAAAUAACUUAAGAGGGGCACCCAGCCACAUUCUGACAACAGCUUCUACCACCUGGACAGCCUUUCAUUCCUACUGCACCAGAGACCAGAGACCGGAUAUGUACAUCGCAUUUUCAGAGCCGCAGGUCCUAAAGACCUCCCUGUCAACACAUGUGAACAAAGUCUUGCAGGAAAAUGUCAUCCCAUUUGAAAUGUGCAGCUUGUCCUUGCAUUACAGACAAGUGCCAGAGAGGCAGGGCCGCCCGGCACGGCCACAUGGGAAGGCCCAUAAAAAGCACGCACCCCGCGGCACAGCACGCAGAACCCAGUGCUGCUCACGGCCUUUCUCCGCUCCAUCUCUCAGUUCAUACACGUGUUUUCCUCCCUGCACUUUGGCACCCAUCAGGAUUCAAAUUCCAGUUUGUCAGCCCUUGUAGAAAGGGGUUCAGAUCCUGGCAUUAAGGCUCCGCCGUGGGUGUGCAGGGACCUGUCAUUGCAGAAUGGUCUCAGAGCCUUCAUUUAUCCUCGCAGCCAUCCUCUAGGGGCUGCCCAGAGGUGGCGAAGGAAAAUCAUUGCCUCGCUUUGAGUCCAGGCAGCAGGAGUCCUUCUGUUCAGUUGCUCAUUAGCUGAGUGCCUGUGAACAUAAUUUGAGGUGCAUUCCAGCCCUGGGAAGAGGCCACCCCUUUCUACUGAGCUGGUUGUCCCAUCUGCAGAUAUCCUGGGAAUCUACCCCAGCGCGAUCCUGUGUGCUCACAUUUACCUGAGCAGCCUCCUCAGGAAAUGAGCUCUCUCCUUCUCAGCUACUUUACCUCUCCAGUGGAUAACCAGGCUCCGGGUUGUGGUGGGUCCUUCUGAAGCAUGUAUGGAGUACGUUAGCAGGUAAUGAUACUAACAUAUCAGUCACGCUGCUUCAGGUGGAUCGGACUCCUGUCUGGGUACCAGCUUUACUUCUUUUCUCAUUACAAAGCAGUGAGGACUUAGAAAAAGCCAAAAUACUUGUAUUGUUCAGAGGUAACUAAUUAAAUGAACUGCUAGGAGCAGUGGUGGUUGUGUGGACACAUCUAUUAUACCUAUUUAUGUGUAUAAUAGUAUAGCAGUGCACAUGUUCAUUUGUAAAUAGCUCUUUUACUAAAUACUCUCUAUUAAAUGGCUUUCCACACCAAUGUGUGCUUUUUCAGCUAUGUCACCAUGUUACCAUUUGAUCCUGUGGGCCCCAUCUUCACCAUUAUUCAGGCAAGAAAGACACUUAGAGUGAAUUCAACUUUGGCACUAUUACAAUCAGUGCUUCAGUGAUUUCUUUGUUCUUUUUUUUUUUUUGGUGCUGGGGAUUGAACCCAGAGCCUGUGCAUAGGCUCCAUCACUGAGCUAUAUCCCCAGACCACACUGAGUAUUCUGAAAACAUCAAAAGGACAGUAUUUUGUGAUACACAGAAAUUACUUGGAAUGGAAUUGGAAAUUCCAGGGCCCAUAAAUAAAAUGUAGUUAGAACACAGAACACCCUUUCCUUAACCUGUUGUCUGUGGCCUCUUUUAUGCUAUGAUGGCAGAGCUGAGCUCCCAUGACCCAGGUCAUAUGGCUGCAGGGACCAAGAUACUUACCCUCUACCGCUUUACCGAAAGAGCUUGCUGUGUAAGCUCAUCUAAACCUACAUAGCACAGGCUGUUACAAAUGGGAGAGUGAGGAACAGAGGACAGGAAAUUGAAGUCACUCACUGGCUGGAAGUGGGGGAGGCCAGCUUUGGUUCCCAGUGUUGGGGCUCUUGGUUAUCGGGAUAGAUGUCAUUCUGCAGGUUGGGAAGGCGAGGUGGGCAGUUCUGCAGGAAGGCCUGUGUCUCACCGUGGGCUCUUCUCUCUCCAGUGGCCUAGGUCAGCCUGCCAGCACAGGGCCAAGUCCACGGGGGCAGGCAGCAUGUCCUUAUGAACACAGCCAGCCAAGCUCAAGGACCUGGCAGGGCAGGACGAGGUGUGACACUGAGCUUUCUGUUGAUGCUUGUGGAGCAGGUGGCUGAAUGGGAUGAAUAAUUCCUGGAUUCCAAGGCUGACAGUCUGGGGAUGGGGCAGGGACCCCUGGGAGAAGCAGCAAGCUGCGGAGGCUUCUUAUGGGAAGGGGAACUUCCCAGUCACCAGGUCCAGGCCCACUCCCCGGGGACACGGGGCCCAGGCCAGGUGCCAGGCAUUUCCUUCAUUAAAGUCUCACCACGGAAGCUUAGCUCUGUCUUUGCCCAUCACAGUGGUCUCCACUAUUUUUGGCUAAAAGUCCUUUUAAAGCAGCUUUGUUGAGAUAUAAUUCAUGUAUCAUACAGUUUACUAAUCUUAUUUUUGCCAAAAUCAUUUAACAAUUUAUUUUAACAUAAAUCCAUUUAACAAUAUGUCAGCAAUGUAGAAGCACUUAAUUUACAAAUGAGUUAAAUAUGUAACACAUUUUACCAUAAUAGCAAAAUCUGACUUUUACAAAUCAGAUAAUUUACUGAUCUUAAAAAAUAUGGUUACCUCAGAAAGAGCCUUAACUGUCUCCUCCGAGCCUGCUCCCCUGCACGACCUGUCCCACGUGCCUUCUGUUGCUAUGGAGUUGCCCACUGUAGACACUUCAUACAAAUGCACCCAUACAGUGUGCCGCCCAUGUACUGUGCUUCUUUCACUUGGUGUAACAUUUUCAAGGCUUCUCCUUGUUGUAAAUGUAUCAGGGCUUCAUUCUUUCAUUGGGUUAAUAAAUACACCACUGUAUGACUAUGCUCCAUUUUCUUUGUUUAUUCAUCAGUUGAUGAUCAUUGGGUGGCUUCUGUUUUCUGGGAUAAGCUGCUCUGAAGGUUCCUGUGUGAGGUUUUGUGCGGAUGUGUGUUUUCACUUGCCCUGGAUGUGUGUAGACCUCGGCUGGGGCACAUGGGAAAACUUCGCGCGUAACUUUCUCAGUGCAGGGUGCUUGGGGGAGCACCUGGAGGACCUCACCCUGGAGUGGGGGUCCUGCCCCAGGCCCUCUCUAGUCUAGCUGCAUUUCCCUUUGACGUUUAAAUCAAUUUUCCAGAUCUUUUCUAUCAGUUGCUAUGAAACCUCUGCUUCAUUUUCAUCCAUGAGGAGGAAAGCAACUCGUCUUUUGCAUGUCUCUCGAGGCCACACUGCGUGGACACGUGGCAUUUAGAUCAACCCCUUCACCCUCCCAAACACGCCAGUGGGGAGAAACAGGCAAAGCUAGGACACGGAAAGGAAACCAGUGAAAGGUUUUUCUGUCCCUCUUUGAAAUGUAUGGAUUGCCGUAAACUCAGGGAAGUUAGGACUAGGUGAGCACCACUAAUUAGCCUUAUUUUAAAAAAUCAGUAUUAUAUAAGUUUUGACAAAAGUGCAUAAAUUGUAUCAUUUCUUUGUAGGCUAGAAAAAUGUAUAUUUGCGAGAAAAAGUUAUAGAAGUAUAAAAAUAUAUUGGGAUGAGGAUGUGUUUGUACAUUUUUUUCUUACUUCUUCAUCAUCUGUGAUUUAUUUUUUCCAAGGACGAUACAUUGCUGGUGAGCUCAGUUGUUAAAGAAUGAUUUGGGCUGUUUUCUUUGACCAGAAGGGUCAGUUUGCUUAGGUGCCCUCUCUGGCACAGACUCCCUACCUCCUCAUGCCUCCCAGGGCACUGUACUAGGAGCUUAGGACGCUUAAGACAGCACCUGAUGGGAUAUGGCCAGGUCAGGAUUUGGACUCCCAGAGCAUGUCACCAGGGCACGACACUGUCUUUUCUUUGUUUUGGUUUCCUCAUUGGAAGAAAAGACUCUCUGAAGUGGGCUGACAUAUGAGAUACACGCAGGAGAACCCCAGGAUAGGGUUUGGAAUUUUAUCAGUUCAUUCUUGGUUUCCAACCAGCCACUUUUCAUCUACCACCUUCUGGGUACCAGCAGGUCCCUUAGGGACCAGCACUCUGCAGUGCAGUCUAGAUCAGAGGCCCCCAAUCACUUUUGUCCCUGGUGCCAACAGUAACGGGGGUGAGUCAGGGGGUUCCAGAUGAGUCAGGGGGUUCCAGAUGAGUCAGGGGCAAGAAACCUAGAUCCCUCCCACGCAAUGUUCACAGGAAGGUUUGUGCUCCUGUGAGAACCCCAUGCUGAAGCUGAUCCAACAAGAGGCGGAGUUCAACUGUAGCUGGAGCCAUGGGGAGCAGGUGGAAAGACAAAUGAAGCUUCUGUCAGUGCCCACCACUCCGCUGCUAUGUGGCCAUAAUAGGCCACAGACCAGUAUGAGUUUAGUAGCCUGGUCUAGGUGACUUCUGAUAGUUGGUGUCUUAGUCACUUUUGCCAUUGCUGACACAAAAUACCAAUACCCAAAGUUAAAGGAGGAAAGGUUUAUUUAGCUGACACUUUGUAGAAGUUUCAGUCCAUAAUCAGCUGGCUCCAAGGCUGGGUAGCAUGGCAGAGGGGCAUCGCAGAGUAGAAACACCAUGGCGUGGUAGUCGGGAGCAAGUAGCAGAGCAGCAGCCUCCCUUCUUUCUGCCCCUUUAUAUUCCAUCCAGGCUACAAACCUAUUGAUUGAUCCCACCCAUACCCAGGGUAUGGCUUCUGUUAUCUGCACCCUUAAUCCCAGUAUCACACCCCUCUUUUAAAAUAAAUUUUAUUGGUACAUUUUAGAUGUACAUAAUGAUAACAUUCAUCAUAGGAAAUUUGUACCUGCCCGUGCUAUAACUUGGUUCUUCAUUUUCCCCCAUUCCCUCCCCUCCCUUCAACCCCCUUUCCCCUCCUUAUUUAUACUAGCUUUGUUGCCAUUUUUCUUCUAUUCUCUUUUUCUUCUUUUCCUUCCUACUUUCCCCCCCCCCCUCCCUGGUUCCCCUUCCCAUUUGAACAUUUUCUUCCUAGUUCCCAAUAUCUGUUGUACAUGUUGGUCCUUACCCUUUUGAUUUCUCACACCAGAGAAACAAAGUGAUACUUAUACACGUGUGUCCGCUUUAUUUCACUUAAGAGUAUGUUUUGAGGUGCCUCCAUUUACCUAGAAAUGUCUGUAGUUUAUCCUUCUCUAUGGCAUAGUAGCCAGUAUCCCAUCCUUAAUCCACAUCCAUGCACCUAAUCCAGCCACCUUUGAGGCUCCCCGCCUUUGACCGCAUGAGGCUCUUGGGGGACGUCUAGAUGCAGCCAUAACAGCAGUCUGAGUGUAAUCACAGAGGGAACUUAAAUACACAUACAUUUGAUGUUUGGCAUGUGUGCAUGUGUUCCAUGCAUGCAUAUGUGCGUGUGGCCUGAGCCUGGCAGGAAAGACAGCAAUGCAUGUUCUCACAAGCAGAAUCUAGAAAAUCUGACCUCCUAAAACCAGAGACCAGAGUGCUGGUUACCAGCGCCAGUUGGUUAGAAAUGAUGAGGUGGGCGCGGUGGGUCAGCGGAUACAACAUUUUGGCUAGACAGGAGGAGUGUAUUCGAGAGACUUACUGUCUCUUGACACCUGGUACCUGUAGAUAAGACUAUAGCACAUCUUGAAAAAUGCUAAGGGAGUGGAUAUAAAGUCCUUACCACAAAAAUAACCAUUUGAGGCAAAGCAUAUGUCAAUGACUAGGUUUUUGUUUGUUUGUUUGUUCGCUUUUUGGUACCGGGAAUUGAACUUGGCUCUUUGCACUUCAUGGUAGGCAGGCAGUGGAACCACUGAGCUAAAUCCCCAGCCCUCAAUGACUAGAUUUUGUCAUUCCAGCGUGUAUGUGUACUUCAAAACGCCAUAUUGUCCUCGGUGGAUACCCACAGUUUUGUCAAUUUCUCAGUGGCGGGAAAGGGAUCUGCCAUGAAGUAGAGGCGGAGCCUGACUGCAGCAGUGCUAUUUCUGUCUCUUCCUGCAGCCUGGUCACGGGCAGCCAUGGCUGGGUCUUCAAGAAGUUGUGUUGGAAAUGUCGACUCUUCUUUCGAAUCGCAGUCGUGUCCUCCGUCCCAGAUGGAGUGUGAAUGGUGCUUUCUGGGCUAAAAGAUGGGCUCAGCUGAGGGUGAGUCAUGAUUUUACAAACGUGUCUGCUUUGGUAGAACUUCCAGAGCGCCCGUGGGCAGAAGGACGCUUUGCACAGGCAUAGACCCAGAGCCACUCCCUGUGCCCUUUGCUUCCCUAUGUCAGUGGUCUCCGAGGUCUCCAUCCUCCUGAUGCAGCGCCUCCUCAGUUCCUUCUUUUGAUGCCAGUGAUGUGGGUGCUUUAAUUACCAAAUGAUCAUUUGAGAAACUUGCUGAAAUGUGUAUUUCUGGAUCCUCCUCAGAUUUUCUAACUCAGUAGGUCUGGGGUGGGGUCCCACAAUUAGCAUUUUAAUCAAACUUCUUAGAUUGGUUCAUUCGGCCAGUUAAGGGCUAUAAACAGAGGGCCUGGGACCUAACCGCACUCCACAGGGGCCGGACAGGGCUUGGUGGGGUGUCCAGGCCCGAGUGGCGCGCCUGCCCGGUGGCUGUAGAGCUGGGGUCCAGGGCUGGUGACCGGCUGCAGAGGCGACGCGGGGCCCCACAGGCAGGCAGGGCUUUGCCCUUGUCCCUAGCCUAAUGCGUCUAUUGGCACAUAAUAAUAAUUGUACAUGUUUAUGGGAGAUGCAGUGUGAUAAUUCGCAUAUGAUGUAUAGUAAUUAAAUCAAGGCAAUUAAAAUCUCUAUCUCCUUAAACACAUAUCAUUUGUUUGUAACGUGAACCACUGAACUCUUCCUAGUUCUUUCUAAGCCUGCUGUCCUCCUGCCUCAGGCCUCUGGAAGCUGGGAUUGCAGGUGUGUAGUCGGAGGUUCUCAUGCCGAUAUCCCAUAUAUGGUUCCUCUGUGUUUCCUUCUUUCUUGGAGGCUUUACACUGCCAACCACCCACUCCCCAGACUUAUAGUCCCACCUCCAUUCCCCUCCUCAGGCCCCCAUUGAAACAGCUUUCUCUCUUUGUUUUGUAAAUUAGUGUAUGUUUGCAAUACAUAACACUCACAUACAUCUUGGAGAAUUGGUACAUACACAUAUCACAUCUUCAUUAUUAUUUUUUUUUUUUGGUACCAGGGAUCAAACUUGGGACCUUGCACUUGCGAGGCAGGUGGCAGCACCACUGAGCCAAAUCCCUGGUCCACAUCUUCAUCAUUUUUACCUCUCACUCUCCUCUCGGACCUCCUUUCUCAUCCCAUGAAGAUAUAGACAUGGGCAAAGGCUUUCUGAACAGAACCUCAAUCGCAGAAGAAAUAACAAGAACAACAAAUGGGAUUAUAUCAAAUUUAAACAUUAUACAGCUAAAGAAACAGCCAACAGAGUAAAAAAACAACCUACAGAACGGAAGACAAUUUUUUUGCCAGCUACACCUUGGGCAGAAAAUUAAUGUCUAGAAUAUAUAAAAAACUGAAAAAAAAUUAGAGCACCCCCAAAAUAAAAAGCCCAAUCGAAAAAUAAGUAGUUGAAAUAAAUAGACACUUCCUGAGAAGAAGUACAACUAGCCAAUAAGUACUUGAAAAAUGUCAGCAUCUUUGGCCACUACAGAAAUGUAAAUCAAAACAACACUAUGAUUCCAUCUUACUCAAGAAAGAAAGAGUCUCUUUCUACCAGAAAUUCUCCUUCAAGAAGAUCUGAGCACUUUUGGGCAGAUUUCAUGAGAGGAAGAUGGAGCAUUCUUGAACUUAGGGUCCCUAGGAAUCACAGUCAUGGUCACCCAAACAGGGCAACUGUGGUGUCUCAGUCCCAGCAGCCUACCACAGAUUAAAAUAACAGUCUGUGGAGUUUAUUUUGAGAAGCCCUAGGAGCUUGGCAUAAGCCUCCAUUGCUCGUGGCAGCAUAAACUGGUCUUUUGGAGUAACUUAUCAGGCGGUAUCAGAGCCUCCCCUUGGACCUUGUAUCACUAUUUGAGAGCUUUUAGAAGACCUACCCCAGAAAAAGGAAAGUUGUGCACUAGAAACAUAUUCUUAGAGCUGGGCACAUUUAGGGGGAAGGAAGCGACCUCAGGGACACUUGGUACCUCUGUUCUCUCAUGUCCCAGGAAGCCAAAGCACCCUGGAGAAGAAGAGGAGGCGCAGGAGAGCGUGGGCCGUCUGAUGUGCUGUCCCAAAGGGCCCGUCUCCGCCCCAUGAGUCCGUCCUGUGCACCAGGCCAGCCCUCCGGCAGAAUGUGAGGGUCGCACCUACUUGAGGUAGUUCUGCUCUUUCGUCCCCCUCACCCUUCUGUUUUUUGUGACCCGCCUCCUGCAGUUAAAAAUUGCUCCUUGUCACAGAAGGAAAAGAAAAGAACUGUGAACCACUAUGUGGAUGUGGAGGAUGCCACAUGCCCCAGAGAAGGGACACGAGGGGCAGUGGGGAGCUGGGGUCCUGGCGUCGGGACACUGCACCCCAUCAGGGCUCCGUGGUGCAGCGUGAGAGCCCUUAGCAAGGGUGUGAGAAGGAGCCACAGGCGAGUGCUGUCAGGGGUGCUCUGCCCCAGAGGGCAGAUCUGCCACCUCCGGCUGCUUCCUAAUCUCCAUUCAUGGGGACACCCAGCGUGAGCCGCCCUGUCAACUCCAUGGAGUCAUGGAAGGUCUAGAGUCCGGGCUUUCAGAAUCUCCUGGAAGAGACGGCCCUCUUUCACCUGAGUUAAAUGGACCAGGGGAGAAAACCACCACUCAGAGAUGCUGACUGACUCAGCAGAAGCCACACAGCGGGGAAGCAGCCAAGGUGGACUUCCACAUGUUAAGGCAGUCCCAGCCUGUGGCUCUGGGAGCCCUUGGGUAUGGCGGCCCGCGCCUCUGACCCCCGCUCCUCACGAGGUGGAGGCAGGAGGAUCACAACUUGGAGUCCAGGCUGAGCAAGACUCUGUCUCAGUGGUGGAGUGCGUGCCUCCACGCUCUGGACUGUGGGUCUAAUCUCCAACCCCACCCCACCAGGUUAUCUUUCUUACUGCUGGAGCAUUCUAUCGUCUGGAUACCUCACCCUGCUAAUCCUUCUGGUGGGCAAUGCACUUAGGGUUCUUUCCGUGUUGGGAAGGUGAUGAAGAAGGCUGCUAUGAGCUUUCAAGUUCAAGUCUUUUUAUGGACAUGUCUUGGGAAACACCUAGCAGUGGAAUUAUCAGGUCAUAUGCAAGGUGUAUUUUUAGCUUUAUAAGCAACUGCCUAACUUUUUCCAAGUAGUUGUAUAAUUUUUUAUUCCCACCCCCUGGAGGGUAUGCAAGUUCCCAUUGCUCCCCCCAUCUUGGUACUGACAGCAGUGGAUGUGAAAUGCUGUCUCACUGUGGUUGUAAUCUUCGCUUCCCACAUACUAAUGGCAUUGGACAAAUUUUCGUGCAUUUAUUGUAUGCGUUUUCUCUCAGGAAGGAUUGUUUGUCUUUUAAUUACUGAGUUGCAAGAGUACUUUUUUGUUUUUUACAUAUUCUAGAUACAAGCCCUUGGUUACACAUAUGUGCUGUGAAUAACUUCUUUCACUGUGCGCCUACAGUAUUCCUUUUAGUUUCUCAGGAACCUCACGAAGUAGAUGUUGUUAGCCCCACUUUAUUGUAGAGAAUCCAAAACGGAAGCAAGACAGGUUAAAUACAAUGCCUGAAAUCCCAUGGCUACCUAGCCAAAGAAGAGGGACCUGGGCCACUUGAGCGGGAUUCAGAGCACUGAUGCCCAGAAAAUUGCAGGGAGCCUCCUUCCACACACAAAGCCUUGUAUCUUCUCAGCUCCUGGGAGUGCAUGGACCUCCAGCCAGUGCCUGGCUGGGUUAUUUGGGUUCACACUCACUGCUCCCUCUGCUGCACAUUCCAGGCCAUCCUGGGAAGUAGCUGGCUCCCAGAACCUGGUGGGGAGUGUGGUCUUCCGAGGGCAGUGCCACAUGGCUCUGAGCUGCUCUGAUGAAAGUCAAAUGCGGGUGUUUUUAUGGGGCUCUGAGGCUGCUGGCAGGGUGAGCUCAUGCCAGGAAUAACAAUGAGGGGCCCAGCUGAAGUUGCUGCCAGCCCGGCUCUGCUUUGGGAGCAUUGCUGGGGUUAAGGGGCCAGGCAGUGGGAAGGUGGUGCUGGGAUAGUUUACCCACAGCUGUUUCAAGAAAAGGAUGUCGUAUGUCUCAGGGACUCCCGCUCUGUUUCUCCUCCCUGAGCGAGGGAAGGAGUCCUCCAGGGCAUUCAGAGUAAAGGUGGGAGGUUUCAUGUGAGUAGAAAUGACAGCAACUCCCACCAUCAAAAUGCUGGUCAGCCCAGUGAGGCUUUUGGAGCACUUGGUGUGCUGCACUGUGUCCAAGCUUUGCGGCCCUACUCGGUGCCAGACCCUCUGUAGGUGCUUUGCAUUCUUCAGCCUAGUGCUCUGAAUACCGCAGGAGAUAGGUAUUCUUAAAAUGCCCACAAGAGGAAGUUGAGGCUCAGGGAGGCUGAGUAAUUUGCCCUAACGUCACAGUGUUUGUAAGUGACUGAGAUUUGAAGAGGGUUUAGCUAAUUCUGCAACCCAGAGGCUUGACCGUUAGGCACUGCUGCCUUUCUAUUCAAAAAGCUUGCGUGAAAUUCCCACUCUGUGUCAUGCAUUACGCAAGGUCCUUGGUCGGGGGAAUAUGAUGUGGAAGGAGACUGUCCCCGUCCUCGGGUAUUCUAGUGGUUUGAACAUCGGUCCUCCAAAAGAAAUGUCUAUCAUCUCCUGAACCCACGAAUGUGAUCUCACUCAGAAACAGGACUUUUUGUAGAUGUAACUAAGGAUUUUGAGAUGAAGUCAUCCUGGAUUAGCUGGGUUACCUUAAAUGCAAGGACAAUGGGCCUUAUGAGAGAUGGAAGAAGAAGGGGAGGCAGAAGCAAUGUGAAAACUGAAACUAAGGUUGGAAUGACGCAGGCACAAGCCAAGGGAUGCCUGGGGCCAGCCAGAAGCUGGAACAGGCACAGAAUUCUGCCGAGAACCCUUGACAGGAGCAUGGCUAUAACAUAUGCUCUUCAUUAGGAGGAAGCCCCAGGUCCAGUGAGACUCAGUUGGUGGGCAGAAGCCUCCAGGGAACCACCUUGCCGGGCAGGAGUCCCACCUUUACUUCUCUGGCAAUCUCAAGGCACCUGGCCCCCAGCGGAAAGGAAGCUUCCAUUCCCUGGGCACUGACUGUGCCAGCUUCCAUGCUGGCCUCUUGCCCACAUUGUACCUGCAGAAUUGUCUAAGCUUCCAGGAUCCCUGUGAAGGGCGCUGUUCCUGCUUCCAUUCAGCAGGGGAGGAGACUGAAGCACAAAAGGGUGAUAGUGGUUCUCCAGCAUAAGGUACAUCACCGUCACCUGAAAGCAGCUGCUGACUUUAGCUUUAGAGCAGGCCUUGAGAAAUCAUAUUCCCAGGGAGUUCCAGCUCCUGAUGCUGGUGGCUUGUGCACCAAGCUUUUGGAACCAGCCUGUGGUGGGAGGUCUAAAGGGCUAAGCUAGAAGCGGCUGUGCUGCCUUUUCCUACACUCCGUUGGGCCAGAUUCAGCCACUUGGCCCCAAACAGCUGUCAAGGAGGCUGGGGAAUCUGGUCCUCCUCAAGAGGAGGCAAUGUUUUCUUGAGCCUGCAGCUGGCCAAGACCAGGUGGGGCAGGAGCUCAAUCGGUCUCCUCAUUCAUCUCUUACCUUCCCCCUCUACGGGUGCUUCUGAUGGGUCUUCCCACAUCAGCCACUGUUUCAGGUACUUCUUCAAGUGUGCACGAAACUGAGAAGAGGAAAAAGACCUUUCCCAGUUGGUCCUUCAGCCUGUUCUCUUGCCCUUAGAGGUGCAGGUGCUCAGCUUAAGAGCUGUCAGGGACUUUAAACCUCCCAUAUGACAGGGGAUUCUGUGGACAUUUCACUCCCACCAUCUUAAGCAAUGGAGGGCCAUGGUAUCUGCAUUUAAGGAGCCCUCAGGAUCUGGACUCCAGGCCACAGAUAAGCUCUGAGUGGAGAACAUACUCCUUUGGCACUUCUCCCCUGCUGCUCCAGAUCUCUCCAGUCCAGCUACCUGAGGCAUCUUCAGUUCUAAGCUCUCAUGCUUUUCCAUGUGCUGUGCCAUCUGCUUCCUUCUUUGUUUUCCCACUGAUUCAGCACAUGCUACCAGUUGCAUGAAGCCUUCGCCAAUGAGUCAAAUUGAUAGGUAGCUUUCCCUCGCGUGGGGACAGCAGUUUAGACAUGCCUCUGUGCCUGAGGUCCAGUGGCCGUCGGGCCUGUGCAGGUUCUGAAGUUCUCUGCCCACUCCUGUCUUCAUAUAGACGUGAAUGCUGUAGAGCCAAGGCUGUACAGUCUCUCUACCCAGAGUACUGAGUCCAGAGCCUUCCUGUGACCUGCAAUGCCCUCCUCAAACUCUGCCAUUAGUUUCAAUCCUGGCUCUGCUAUGUGACUUUGGACAAAUUCUUAGCUUCCUUAUGCUUGGUUUUCUCAUCUGUCAGGAGGGGCUAAUCAUGUUGUGCAUAUGCAAUGAAAUAAGGCACCUAUAGGCCUUUGAGCAGUGCGAGAAGGGCCAACCAUCAUUCUGCUACCAUUGCUCUUGUUAUUACCUCGAUGCGGGCACAUCCCAGCCAUCUUGGGUCAUCCCCUUGCUGACAGUUGUGCUGGUCUUGUAUGCCCCCUGGUUUCCACACGUGAUGUCCCUUCAGCUCUGAAGCUCCUGCCUCUCACCUGCUUUUUCAUUCAUGCCCAUUCAUUCAUUCAUUCAUUCAAUAGUCAUUGAAGAGCUCACGCUUACUUAUCUUGUGGACUCAGCCCUUUCUGUUCAUCCUCAUUGGAUUUACUUACUGCUCCUGUUUGGAAGGCCUACUUACUUUUUGGAAUCUUUGUGAGUAACUUGAGAGAGGCAAGAAAAUGCUUUUCCCCAUCUUGGUUUACUGCUCUGAAUCCAGUUCCUGAUAUCAUGACUGGCAUGGAAUGGGAAUGCCAUGAACAUUUGUUAAAUAAAUAUAUGAGCGCUGUUCAUCUCUGAAUCUAUCCCCAUUGCUUAGUGCAUUGCAAGUGUUCCUCCAAGAACUCCCUUUCUCUUGCAUGAAACCAAAUCACUCUAGGUUCUCGUAAUCUAAAAGUCCCCACCAUGGAGGGCCACUUUCAAUCAGCAGGUCUGAUUUUCUCACCUUCUGAACUGAAAGUCCGCCCCGAUCCAGUUGGCCACUUUUAAGAUGAGCAGUGGUACUGUGUGAACGGCCCAAAGGGAAGCCUUGGGCACUGUGUUUCCAGGCCCAUCUCUGGGGUCAUCGAGGACCUCUCAACAGCUUCCAUGUUUGCUGACCCACUUUAGAAUACUUAUCUCACUGUCUCCUGGAACCUCACUGCCUAGACUGGGGCCUGGUAGUGGAAGAUGGAACGAGGGGCCUUUCCCACGCCGGCCACAUCCUAGAGAUGAAGAUUGGGAGUAAAAAUAUUUCCCCAACUCAUCUAAUGUGGCCAAAACUAGGCCCUGCUUUCAUGAAUUUGUCUUAUUUCUUUGGCAGUUGAAGUCUGCUUUGCAUUUGCAGUUUGCCUCUAGACAUUAAUCUGCCUCUUCUUUCUCACCUGCCUUACUUUCUUGGUCUGUUUGUCAGGUAGGAGCAGCAGGUGUGAAGUUUGCUCUCCCCAGGGCUAGGUGGGACAGGAUCCUUGGAGUCAGCGCUGGGCUUACAGCACAAGGGAUACAGACGUCGGGCUCUGCGAGGGCCGAGUCUGGGUUCCGUCUCACGUGGCUUCCUUGGAGGGACCCUCUGACCUGUUGCCUAUUUAUUUCGUAGCGGAACUGCAUAGGAUUGCAAAGGCGUGUUUCUUUGGUUUCUAAUACUAUUUAUACGGGUGUUCGCACAUUGUCCCAGUUUACUCUCCCUCAUAUCAACUGCCAUGCUUAAAGCCAGAUGUAUGUUCUGAGUAUCUACUUUUCUCCCCCAACAAAGCAAAAAUAAUAUUAAUUGAAACUUCAAUGAGUGGCAGAGACUCCACUUGAUAUUUUCACACCUGUUUUCCAAUUCACUCUUCUCAGUCACCUCAUGAGCUAAAAAUGAUGAGUUCCAAGUUACCAGUGGGGAACUGUGGCUUAGAGAUUUUAAUUUCAUGUGCCCCAUGAACGUCUUCUCCUUACAUUACGAUCUGGAUCUGUCUGCCACUGUUUUGGUCUUGCCAUGUAUCUAACUUCUAACUUCUAGCUUCUUUCCCAGGCAAUUUUGGUGUUUGAUUUCUGCAUCACACAUGGCAUGCCCUGUACUGCUGUACCUUUGUCU